GAAACUGGUGCUAAUACCGGAUACACUUCUUUACUGCGGGGUAAAGGAGGAAAGGUGGCCUCUUCAUGAAAGCUACCGGAUAGGGAUGAGCCUGCGUACCAUUAGCUAGUAGGCGGGGUAACGGCCCACCUAGGCAACGAUGGUUAGCGGGUCUGAGAGGAUGAUCCGCCACACUGGAACUGGAACACGGACCAGACUCCUACGGGAGGCAGCAGUGAGGAAUAUUGCGCAAUGGGGGAAACCCUGACGCAGCGACGCCGCGUGAGUGAGGAAGGUUUUCGGAUCGUAAAGCUCUGUCAGAAGGGAAGAAGUGUUAUAUGGUUAAUACCCAUAUAAUUUGACGGUACCUUCAGAGGAAGCACCGGCUAACUCCGUGCCAGCAGCCGCGGUAAUACGGAGGGUGCAAGCGUUGUUCGGAAUUACUGGGCGUAAAGGGCGCGUAGGCGGCUGGAUAAGUCAGAUGUGAAAGUCCAUGGCUCAACUGUGGAAGUGCAUUUGAAACUGUCCGGCUUGAGUAUCGGAGGGGAGUGUGGAAUUCCCGG
rnacentral:rRNA from 1 species